rnacentral:rRNA from 1 species
AAGCCUCGGACAUUGAACUCCCACGCGUCUCGGGUCCUGAACGUAUCGCGUCGACGACGCUGGACGGUGGUGGGUAGGCGGUACCGAGAUGAGCAGGCACGUGGUGGCGAAGAGGUGGAUGUCGGAGGGGGGUGGUGGCGCGUUCGAAAGAAGCAGGCCGUUGAGCGUGGGUGUGGGGCGGCGGCAGGGGAGAGGCGGGCGCAGGCGCACGCGCGGAGGUUGAGGCUGGGAGGCGUCGUCCAGUUGGAGAGGCAGGACGCGAANNNNNNNCCCUAGGGGCCCGACCUGCUCAGCAUGGAGGGCGCCACCUAUCCGGAGCCGAAGCCGCGGGAGCAGGAGGAGUUGGUGGAGGAGAGCGGCAGGGGUUGGGGGCGCGUCGAGUCCAGCCUCCGAGACCCCGACACGGACCGGCGCAAGAGUCGCCGCGACGGCAUGGAGCCCGCAAAGGAUCUCCCACGACCACGAAGGUCGGCACACGGCGACGGUCUUCCCUCGUCCGUCCACAAACACUAAGGACUACUAGAGAGCUGCAGCGUCUUUCUCCUAUACCGGACCCGGUGUAUACAAGACGACGUCUUGUGCUUGUGGUGUAGUCACGAGUAUCGUUAACCGUUACACAACACGUAUGCUCCUAUGACCCUAGGAGGACGUCUAUAGAGAUUUAUACGUUACUAACUAACCAAGUUCUCAGUCUACCUUGUUCGACCUGAGCUGUUAGACUCGUCACGAAACAUGAAAGGAUUAAAAAGACUGUGUGUCGAACCCUUAUAAGAUGGUGUUCCUUAAGAAAGACACAACCGUGUUGGUUAACACUCGUUGGGACUAGGUCGAUUGCCACUUAGUUUUCGACUUCCACAGCAGGACAACCGGAGGUUACGUUUAAUACGUAUGUCACUCUUUCUAUACCAAACCUAUUCUUGUCAACGUUUAUUUAAAGCUGAACACAUUUAGUAGUUGUGGGUUCAACCUGUUCUUGCCUACAAUGCUAAGCGAAUCACCUACCCUACAGAGUUCACACACCAUUGGUUGUCGGUAUACUUCAGAGACGAACCUUACACAUGAAACGUUGUCGACCUCCGUCUCCGCCUUGUGCGUUCGCCGCGGUACCUCGCUGCUUGAUAAUCAACUACCUGGAGACGUUACGGUAAUGUACAAAUUGAUCGGGUGGUUGGUGGGGGUAGAAAAGGUCGACUUCGACACCAGACUCGAUCUCGCAACCCACCAAGGAUAGUCGGCAGGAGUUGCGGAGUAGUAGUAGGACACUAGAACUAGACGGAACCGAAGAACACCAAACUUUAGUGAACCGGACCUUGUAAUAGUCAACCCGUAGGAAGGUUUCGGAAGAGGGUCCUCGGGAGACGACCCGAGAGAGUGUUCGAACUCACACGUGGAUGAUGGAUGCGGCAGAGUACGCCACAACAAAUUACGUACGGCAGACUAUACCAACUUCGUAGUUCGACAUAAGACAUGACAUACCAUGGUACAAGCGGCACACCGAUGACAGUGCGACCUCUAGCUAGCCAAUUUACCAGGUGAGCAGAAAACACACUUGACCGUCGUUUCCCCGUCACCACCAAGACCCCUCCUAUACGUAACGAAGCAACGACCCUUUAAAGACCAGCUUACCCACAUGUUUAAAAGUUGCUAAGAUUUUGUCACAUGGCGCCGGUUCCCAUCAUGCUUGAAUUCUCAGCAUUUUCCCUUGUAAACUUGUCCUAAACGUGCCAAGCCACGCAAGAGUAGCCCAUAAAUGAGAAAGGGAUCAAACUAAGACGUUUUCCUCUUCCUCCGCUCGACUUUUACGAGUACACUGAUCCCUUGCCACUAACCAUUCGAGUGGUGUUCAGUAUUUAUGUCCGAACGUUGCGGUCGGCUACCCGUGCGUGGUGUUUAUUUACCACCGCGUGCCGUUGGCCUGUGCCUAUCCAUCUACCUGCCCGCCUAGGGAGGUUUGUUCUGUCACUGUAUCGUACCGCAAGCAUACGUUUCAUGAGAUAAGGGUUGGGCACUUCAUGGACAUGCACAUGCACCAUAUGACCUACUC